rnacentral:sRNA from 1 species
AUCUCCUCAGAAUCAGGGUUGAGUAUCUCCUCAGAAUCAGGGUUGAGUAUCUCCUCAGAAUCAGGGUUGAGCCCAAUACGUCACCACUGGCUGGAAAGGAUGAGAAGAUUUUCCGGUUUGGCAGUCACAAGUGGUACGGUGCCGGAAAGAGAGCAAGGAAAACACGCUCUGGUGCGACCACUAUGGUCGCUCAUCACGCUUCGUCCGCUCAUGAAACCCGGCAGGCCACGAAGCACGAGGGUGCCGGCGCUAACAGGGCUGAGCAUCUCAAGCGCUACUCUCCGCCUGCCGAAGGGAACUGUGGUUGGCACUGCAUUUCCGCCAUCGCCAAUCGGAUGGUGAAUUCCAACUUUGAGACCACCCUUCCUGAAAGAGUAAGGCCUUCAGAUGACUGGGCCACUGACGAGGAUCUUGUGAAUACCAUCCAAAUCCUCAGGCUCCCUGCGGCCUUGGACAGGAACGGCGCUUGCGGUAGCGCCAAGUACGUGCUUAAGCUGGAGGGUGAGCAUUGGACUGUCUCUGUGAUCCCUGGGAUGUCCCCUACUUUGCUCCCCCUUGAAUGUGUUCAGGGUUGUUGUGAGCAUAAGGGCGGUCUUGUUUCCCCGGAUGCGGUCGAAAUUUCCGGAUUUGAUCCUGCUUGCCUUGACCGACUGGCUAAGGUAAUGCACCUGCCUAGCAGUACCAUCCCAGCCGCUCUGGCCGAAUUGUCUGACGAACAGCUGAUCGUAUUAGACAGAAACAACAGAGAAAUCACGGUUGCUCAGGCUCC